GGGGUUGUGGCUCAGUGGUAGAGCACUCGCCUAGUACAUGUGAGACACCGGGUUUGAUUCUUAGCCCCA
rnacentral:tRNA from 1 species